CUAAAUAACUGGUCUUAAGGUAAAUCACUCUACCGAAAACAUCCGGGCAGAUAUGUCUUAUAUGAGGUAGAAACUUUACCGUAUCAAUAAGAUCUCUAGGUGAAGGAAGGAUAGCUCCAGAAUGAUAGUAAUCAAUCCCUAAACCACCUCCAAUGUUCAGGUAAUCAAUUUCAAAUCCUUGCGAUCGAAUCUCGGUGAUCUUUCGGGUUCAAUAAUGAGAUUAAGUUUUCGUGAGAGGACCAAUUCUCGCACCUGCGGUACACAUGAAAGGCGCAAGUGUCAACUAAAUCACAGGUGAGGCCCACAGUUUGAGCAGUAGCUUUAACUGCCACUACUACUAAGAACUGGUUUUAAGGCAAAUUACUCUACUGAAAACAUCCGGGCAGAUGUCAUAUGUCUUAUAUGAGGUAGAAACUUUACCGUAUCAAUAAGAUCUCUAGGUGAAGGAAGGAAAGCUCCAGAAUGAUAGUAAUCAAUCCCUAAACCACCUCCAAUGUUCAGGUAAUCAAUUUCAAAUCCUUGGCAUCAGAUUUCGUCAAUGUAGUUCACCAUCAAGACAGCUGCAUCUCGAAAAAUGUCGACCUGGAAAAGACAACAAAACUUGAAACCCUGUAGAUGGCAGAGAAAUUACAAGGAGGGAGUCUGAUAUGCAAAUGGAAUGACAGCCCAAUUUUGCAUUUUUCCCCUUCAAAUAUUUUUCUUAUGCCUUCAAGCAUUCAAAAAGUAAGAGAAAGAACAAGAGAGGCAAAUGGGAGAUGGGGAGUAUUAAUGAAUAAGUGUAAAUGAAGUUAAAUUUGAGUCGUAUCUUAUAGUGCUGAGUAGAUGGCAACAAGGAAACGCCAGCCACCAAAUAAAUGACACCCGAUAAAGCAUUAGAACUUAGAAGAUAGGUCAUGAGUAAUAUUUCCCAUUAACAACAGAUACUAAACAGC
rnacentral:lncRNA from 1 species